GUUGUAUGGUUAAGUGACUAAGCGUACACGGUGGAUGCCUUGGCAGUCAGAGGCGAUGAAAGACGUAGUAACUUGCGAUAAGCCCAGAUUAGGUAGUAACAACCAUUUGAGUCUGGGAUUUCUGAAUGGGGAAACCCACGUGCAUAAGCACGUAUCCUUACCUGAAUACAUAGGGUAAGGAGGCGAACCGGGGGAACUGAAACAUCUAAGUACCCCGAGGAAAAGAAAUCAACCGAGAUUCCGAAAGUAGCGGCGAGCGAAAUUGGACUAGCCCUUAAGCUUUACACGCGUUAGACGAACGGUCUGGAAAGUCCGACGAUACAGGGUGAUAGUCCCGUAGUUGACGACGUGUGUUCAGUGAAAUCGAGUAGGGCGGGACACGUGAUAUCCUGUCUGAAUAUGGGGGGACCAUCCUCCAAGGCUAAAUACUACUGACUGACCGAUAGUGAACCAGUACCGUGAGGGAAAGGCGAAAAGAACCCCUGUGAGGGGAGUGAAAUAGAACCUGAAACCGUGUACGUACAAGCAGUAGGAGCAGGCUUUGUCCUGUGACUGCGUACCUUUUGUAUAAUGGGUCAGCGACUUAUAUUCAGUGGCAAGGUUAACCAUCUAGGGGAGCCGUAGGGAAACCGAGUCUUAACUGGGCGUUCAGUCUCUGGAUAUAGACCCGAAACCAGGUGAUCUAGCCAUGGGCAGGUUGAAGGUUGAGUAACAUCAACUGGAGGACCGAACCGACUAAUGUUGAAAAAUUAGCGGAUGACUUGUGGCUAGGGGUGAAAGGCCAAUCAAACCUGGAGAUAGCUGGUUCUCCCCGAAAGCUAUUUAGGUAGCGCCUCGGACGAAUACUACUGGGGGUAGAGCACUGUUAAGGCUAGGGGGUCAUCCCGACUUACCAACCCUUUGCAAACUCCGAAUACCAGUAAGUACUAUCCGGGAGACACACGGCGGGUGCUAACGUCCGUCGUGGAGAGGGAAACAACCCAGACCGCCAGCUAAGGUCCCAAAUUACUACUAAGUGGGAAACGAUGUGGGAAGGCUCAGACAGCCAGGAUGUUGGCUUAGAAGCAGCCAUCAUUUAAAGAAAGCGUAAUAGCUCACUGGUCGAGUCGGCCUGCGCGGAAGAUGUAACGGGGCUAAGUAGUAAACCGAAGCUGCGGCAAUGUGCUUUUGCACAUUGGGUAGGGGAGCGUUCUGUAAGCGGUUGAAGGUGUGUGGUAACGCAUGCUGG
rnacentral:rRNA from 1 species